rnacentral:rRNA from 1 species
AGAGUUUGAUCCUGGCUCAGGAUGAACGCUAGCGACAGGCUUAACACAUGCAAGUCGAGGGGCAGCGGGGAGGUAGCAAUACUUCCGCCGGCGACCGGCGCACGGGUGAGUAACACGUAUGGAACCUGCCCGUAGCAGGGGGAUAAGCGGAAGAAAUUCCGUCUAAUACCGCGUAAUAACUCCGAGGGGCAUCCCUUGGGGUUUAAAGGGUAACACCGGCUACGGAUGGCCAUGCGGCGCAUUAGCUAGUUGGCGGGGCAACGGCCCACCAAGGCGACGAUGCGUAGGGGUUCUGAGAGGAAGGUCCCCCACACUGGUACUGAGACACGGACCAGACUCCUACGGGAGGCAGCAGUGAGGAAUAUUGGUCAAUGGGCGCGAGCCUGAACCAGCCAAGUCGCGUGAGGGAAGACGGUCCUAUGGAUUGUAAACCUCUUUUGUCGGGGAGCAAAAGACGCCACGCGUGGCGUUCCGAGAGUACCCGAAGAAAAAGCAUCGGCUAACUCCGUGCCAGCAGCCGCGGUAAUACGGAGGAUGCGAGCGUUAUCCGGAUUUAUUGGGUUUAAAGGGUGCGCAGGCGGAAGAUCAAGUCAGCGGUAAAAUUGAGGGGCUCAACCUCUUCGAGCCGUUGAAACUGGUUUUCUUGAGUGAGCGAGAAGUAUGCGGAAUGCGUGGUGUAGCGGUGAAAUGCAUAGAUAUCACGCAGAACUCCGAUUGCGAAGGCAGCAUACCGGCGCUCAACUGACGCUCAUGCACGAAAGUGUGGGUAUCGAACAGGAUUAGAUACCCUGGUAGUCCACACAGUAAACGAUGAAUACUAAUUGUUCGGGGAGAAUGAUCCCUGAGUGAUACAGCGAAAGCGUUAAGUAUUCCACCUGGGGAGUACGCCGGCAACGGUGAAACUCAAAGGAAUUGACGGGGGCCCGCACAAGCGGAGGAACAUGUGGUUUAAUUCGAUGAUACGCGAGGAACCUUACCCGGGCUCAAACGACACAGGAAUACUUUUGAAAGGAGGUAGCUCUUAGGAGUCUGUGUCGAGGUGCUGCAUGGUUGUCGUCAGCUCGUGCCGUGAGGUGUCGGCUUAAGUGCCAUAACGAGCGCAACCCCCAUCGCCAGUUACCAGCAAGUCAAGUUGGGGACUCUGGCGAGACUGCCGGCGCAAGCUGUGAGGAAGGCGGGGAUGACGUCAAAUCAGCACGGCCCUUACGUCCGGGGCGACACACGUGUUACAAUGGCAGGUACAGAGAGAAGCAAUGCGGCGACGCAAAGCGGAACUUGAAAGCCUGUCUCAGUUCGGAUUGGAGUCUGCAACUCGACUCCAUGAAGCUGGAUUCGCUAGUAAUCGCGCAUCAGCCAUGGCGCGGUGAAUACGUUCCCGGGCCUUGUACACACCGCCCGUCAAGCCAUGGAAGCCGGGAGUGCCUGAAGUGUGCAACCGCAAGGAGCGCCCUAAGGUAAAACUGGUGACUGGGGCUAAGUCGUAACAAGGUA